rnacentral:rRNA from 1 species
GAGCUGGGUUCAGAACGUCGUGAGACAGUUCGGUCCCUAUCCGUCGUGGGCGUAGGAAAUUUGAGAGGAGCUGUCCUUAGUACGAGAGGACCGGGAUGGACAUACCUCUGGUGUACCAGUUGUCGUGCCAACGGCAUAGCUGGGUAGCUAUGUAUGGACGGGAUAAGUGCUGAAAGCAUCUAAGCAUGAAGCCCCCCUCGAGAUGAGAUUUCCCAACUUCGGUUAUAAGAUCCCUCAAAGAUGAUGAGGUGAAUAGGUUCGAGGUGGAAGCGUAGCGAUACGUGGAGCUGACGAAUACUAAUCGAUCGAAGACUUAAUCAAU